rnacentral:rRNA from 1 species
GACGAACGCUGGCGGCGUGCUUAACACAUGCAAGUCGAACGGAAAGGCCCUGCUUGCAGGGUCCUCGAGUGGCGAACGGGUGAGUAACACGUGGGUGAACUGCCCUGCACUUCGGGAUAAGCCUGGGAAACUGGGUCUAGUACCGGAUAGGAGCCAUUUUUAGUGUGAUGGUUGGAAAGUUUUUUCGGUGUAGGGUGAGCUGGCGGCCUAUCAGCUUGUUGGAGGGGUAAUGGCCUACCAAGGCGGCGACGGGUAGCCGGCCUGAGGGGGUGGACGGCCACAUUGGGUCUGAGAUACGGCCCAGACUCCUACGGGAGGCAGCAGUGGGGAAGAUUGCACAAUGGGCGCAAGCCUGGUGCAGCGACGCCGCGUGGGGGAUGACGGCCUUCGGGUUGUAAACUCCUUUCGCUAGGGACGAAGCUUUUUGUGACGGUACCUAGAUAAGAAGCACCGGCUAACUACGUG